CCGUUUACUACCCCAAACCCAACAGAAAAUUCCCCCAAAUCACAUUCCCCUCUUCUCUCUUCCCUCCACGUGGUCUGACACAUAACAACCCCGAAUAUUCCUCAUUCUGUCCUCUCACUUGAAUCUCAAGUGCUUCAUCUCUCUCCAACAAAUGAAGGAUUGAUGGGGGUCGUAUGAUUAAGGAGGUUUAAUCCUCUUCGUUCAUAUGUCCCAAGUUAGUUGGUUUCAGAGAGAUUUUCUCAUUUUUUUGGGGAUUUUAGAAUUUAGAAGGUUCGAGAUUUCUGGGGAAAAGGAUAUAUAAGGUGAUGAUUUACAUUCUUAAGGGGGAUUUGUUUUGGGAAAAAGUCUGAGAACAAAUUUCAGAGAGAGAUUUUGACAGAAAACUAGGGUUUUGUGCUUAGUUUCAUUUUGAUUUUUUUUUCUCUGUUGUCUUGUCGAUCCUAGAGAAAAAAUACUAAAAAAACUAGUUUUUGUUUUGUUUUGAGUUUUGCUUCAAAAGUUUUGGAAAAACAAUUUCAAAAAAAGAAAAAGAGUUUUGUAUUUCAGUACUUCCUUUCAUCUAAAAAAGAAUGUUUCUAUUUUGAUUAAAUUAGCAUUUCAAUUCGAAAAUAUAUACAAAAAAAUAUUCCAGUUUUUGUGUUUUGAUUCCGAGUCUCAAACAUGGGUGUUCGAAUGAGCUGAGAUCGUUUAUAGUUCGCAUUCGAAAAUGCAUUUUCCAGUGAGGUUGAUUCUGUUCGAGGUUCAAGUUGGUCGUCCCUGAUUAGUUUACUGCCGUUCCAAUUUGGCGGACAAGUUUAUCACCGGACUAUCUUGUAAUCUCCUUCUGGCAAAUUAAUCGCAAACUCUCGUUCAGACAUUUGCUCAUAUGAUGUUCCAGCAGUCGGUAUUGUGUUCCAAGUCGAAUGAACAGUCUAUUGAAUCUUUCUCUUAUAUUUCCUAAUUGGCACACUUUAUUUUAUUUGCACUAUAAAAUAAUUGUUAUGUUAGGGAUCAUGUGAUGUUUCUUUCCUUAGGGUGGAGUUGUCUGUUGAAGUUGUGAUACUCAUAGCAGCGAAUUAAUACUUACUGUGUGGCGCAUUUGAGUUGGUUCAAUGCUCUGAUCUUUGUAUUACUGGAGUUGGCAUUGAGAAGUUGCCACUAUGUAUUUGAUAAUUAACGAGUUCCUGAUAUUGUAAUACAAUAAGAUUUCAUAUUGUGGACAAACUUUUGUA